CGGCCCAGAGAACUCUGGGAAUAGUAGUUUCUGGAGUUGGCCUGCGCAGGCGCGCUUCCCCACGCGGCCAUGGCAGAAUGCGCACAUUCUCCCUUUGCAGUCCCUUCCUUUCUGUAAUAUCAUAAAAGACGUAAGGCGCCAAAGUAUAGACUUCCUCAUCUCUGACCCUGUACUGCUUCCUCUUUCCUUCUACCUGUAGUCUCCAGCGGCCCAGACCCGAGCCCUCGCCAAGGAUGAUUGCCGCUGGUUGCCACGGCGACGGUCCUUUGGGUGCGUUUGGCGCCAUCGUGACGUCAAACGGGGGCGUGGCCACUGUGGACUCAACGGAGAUGCUUAGCGCUGCUCAGUCUGAAGCCAGUUCUCAUCUCGCAAAGAAGAGAGCAAAUGGGAUGCUGCCACCAGGGUAACACUGCAGGGAUGGUUCUGGCCUAGCUGACGACCCACAAGAACUCUGGCCUGAGAGACAGCAGAGCAGACACUGCUGACAGCAUUCAGGCUGCCUACAGUCCUAACACAGCUGCCCAUCUGCUGCGUCGGGCACAGGAAGCAAGGAUGGACUAUGCAAAAGGCACACGGCAGGAGCUGGACAGUAUGGAAGGUCUUCCCUUGCCUCCCCGUGCACACUCCGUGCUCGCCCCGUGCUGACUCCGUGGCGAUAUGUGAUUGGUCACGGCCGAAUAUAUAAGCCAGAGCGUGCGGCAAUAAAGCGGCAGUUCCUGUUACCAACAAGAACAUCCUCUGUCUCAUUGGGGAGCUGCGCUGGUCAACUGGUGGCCCGUACGGGGAACCCCUCUCUCUCCGAUGGAACAGAGACGUUAACAGGACCACACAGCCAAGGCCUAUGCAGGACCCAGAGCCUGAGAGGACCUGAGCACUGCUCUUCAAAUACCUCCUGAGGAAGGGAGCGGAGAGCCAUAAUCUCCACACAGCACAUGCAGAAAAGGCCAUUGGUGGCUCUGAAGAUGAAGAGGAUGUAUCUUGAACACAGGCUAGUCAAGUGAAGCAGUGGGAGUGGAGAAGGAACAAAGAAAUCUGCAACUGGUUGUGAUCAAUUAGUAGUAAAUACCACUGCACUCGAACCAGCCGAGGGGAGAUGAGGAGAUAAGGGAAGGAGAUGGGAGCUGGAGGGCUGAGGUCGUGGCCCUACACUGAUCCACACUCAGCCCAGGGCCGCUGCUUGCUUCAUGAGGCUGCUGCACAAAAUGGUGGAUAAGGUAGGUCCGCCUACCCCGCCAGGGGUAACAGGGCCGGGGACUCUGAUGCAGCUGGGAAGCUAUUCCCUUCUCUGAGCCUCACUUCAGAAUGAUCCACAAAAGAGGCACAAUCCAGGCUCCUCAUGAAGUGACAAGACCUGGUUGAUGACAAAGUAGUUUCUGCUACUCAACCAUCUAUUCCCUGAGAAACCAUUUGCUGAGGGCCAUAGAGAAGGCCCUGGAAAAAAUCAGUGAACUAACCAGGUCACAGGACCCCACCCCAAGAAGCUGUCACUCCAGUGAUGAUGAUAAAUGGUUGUUACGGUUUGUGGCUAGGUGGCCGCCUCAAACUUCAUGCAAUCAUGGACAUGGCUGAACCUAGCGUUUGUGACUGGUUCAUUGUCUAGCAGAUUGGUGGUGUGUGCUGCACACAGUGUAAGGGCAGGAAGGUGAUGUGCUUUGCCCUCUUUUGCUCUGUUUGGUCUUGCUGUUUGUGGUGGCCAUGAACACCUACCCCGCCAUGCUACCCUGCUGUCAUGGUUUAUGUUUGUGUUCCCCAGGCCUCAUGAGUUUGCAUUGUUCAUAUGUGAUGGUUCAUUGUAUAGUGCUUGGAUUGAUGGUGUCAGUGCUCCACCCACAUAGGAGUGGAGCCAGGAUGUGAUGUAAUGGCAGGAAGAAGGUGUGUUUUUCUCUUUGCUGGUUCGAGUUUGCUGUUGGCGACCGCCAUGAACUGUGGCCCAGCCAUGCACGCCUGCCUGGGAGCUGACUGAGUGUGGACUGAAACCUCCAAAAACUGUAAGAAAUAAACCUUUCCUUUCCCAACUUGGGCAUCAGGUAUUUUGUCUCAGCAACGAGCAUAAAGUAACUAAGACACCUGCCUUGGAGCCAGAUGAGUAUGGACUGAAACCCCCAAAACUAUAAGAAGUAAACUUUCCCUUGCUUUGCUUUGCGUGUCAGGUGUUGUGUCAGGUGUUUUGUCUUAAUGAGAAAAAAGUAACUAAAACAGUGGUCCAAACAUGAUGGAGCUACAAAGGAGUUGGGGGGUGGAGAGGUGCUGUAAUGGGUUGACAGUUCAGCCCACGUUUUCUUGGCCUUAGCACUGCUGGCAGUGGGAUGGGUCAUUCCACUGUGGGGUGCUGGCCCGUGCACUGUGCAAGGUGUGGCAGCCUUCUUGGCACUACCCAUGAGAUGCUAAUAGCAUCCCCACUGCCAGGACUACUAUCUUAAAACAUCUCCAGAUGCUGCCAGUGUCUUCUUGGGGGAAGAGGCAGCCAAUGAACAGCCCACCCAGGCCUGGGCAGUGAUUUCACCUUGUGGGUGAUGGAGUACAGGUGACCCCGAGUAAGAUAGUGACUGGGACCCAGUUGGGUGACACUCACUCAGCAGGAAGAGGUCCUGGUAGUUGUCCAGUGCUGUGUCCCAGAAGAGGUCCCCCUGGUCCAGCUCCAGCUGCUCCCAGUCCUCUAAGGUGAUGGCCACGUUGUGGGUCAUGAAUUCCUGAAAGAGUAACACACUGUAAGUCACAAAGGAGUGGUGCAGGAGGGAGCCCAAGAACCCAGUCGAAGAACCUAAGUCUCAUUUUGCCAAGCCUUUGGCAAAAAGCAUCCUGUUCUCAGGCUCACCAAAGCCCUGGUAAGUCAGAGCCAGGGAAGUCUUGUAUUCUGUAGCAAGGAAACAAGAGUAUUGGACAGGGUGUCAUACAGGUAGGACUUAAACUCAGGUUUGUCUGGCCUUAAAAUCCAUCUAUUUCUUGUCGUCUUGUAAGUGUUGGCUCAAAAUUUUAAUUUACAUUAUUAUAGAAAUUCUCAAACAUACACACAAGGAGAGAGAAGCAUGUAAUUAAUUGCUAUGAACCCAGCACGCAGGAGACACCUAAUUCUACUGCAAAUUCUUCAGCAUUCAACAGUAACUCCUUAACAUCACUGAAUACCUGACCAUACUCCCAGUUUGCAUACACAUUUGUCUGACAUCCUGGGGUUUUUAAAGCUAGCUUGUUAGGAUUAGAAUUCAAGGAGGCACAUGCCAGUGAGUAGAAAGAAACCCCAUUAUCAUUACUGCUUCUAGGUGGGCAAAUUCCCAGCCCAUGUUACCAGGUCCACUGCAGGCUGCAUGGUCACCAAAGGUGUGUGUCUGCUGUCUAGCUUGUGGAGAUGCUGACUUUCUUCAUUUUGAAACGGUAUGGUUGACAGGUAUAUGGUUUGUGUCUGGAUAUCCCCCCAAAGCCUCAUGUGGUCAUGGAAGCAGGCUUCUAGAAUCUGUGAUUGAUUCAUGGUCCAAUGUUAGGAUUAUGGAUGUGAGUGCUACAACCACCCUAGGAUAGGUGAGGCCUACAUACAGUAUAAGGGACAGAAACAGUCUUCUUACUCUGCUCCUCCCUUUUUGCUCUUGUUGCCUUUGCUGUCUUCCACCACUGUAAACAGCUGUCCUUCAGCCUUGUCAUCCUGCCUUGGAGCCAGCUGAGUAUGACCUGAAACCUCCACAGACUGGGAGCUAAAUAAACCUUUCCUUCCUUUAUGCUGGGUAUUGGGUAUUUUGUCUCAGCAAUGAGAGAGAAGUAAGCAAGACAAUAGGUAUUUAGAAAAGAAAUUCAAGUAUUUGAGAAGUACUGACCAAACAGGGAAGCUACCUCCACCACCCUGUGUCUAGGUGAAACAUGAGCUGCUGGGCAGCUCCUUCCUGAACCCCACCCAUGUGGAUGCUGGAGCACACAACACCAAAAGGAUGAAAAACACUUCUCUUUAGUCUGGGCUGAGGCUUAGCUCCACUACUUUGCCGAUGGGUGGGCCCACCGCCAGUUCGUUGCUCACUGGUGAAAUGUGACUGACGUAUUCUGUUCUAUCACAGCUACCAUGGAGGUGACCAAGAGGCUGACAACUGGCCAGGUUUUCCAUCAGUAAGCCAUACAUUUGAUCUGUGUACACCUCUUCAUCUGUGCUUUAUCUUACAAUAAAAAGUUCUGGAUGUGUUUUGUUGUUUAAAUAAAUGUGCUAGAAAGGCUUCUUUUCUGGCUGCUGUGUGGAAAGACAUAAGGUUUCGGAAGGGAGUAGUUGGGAGAUGAGGAAAAAGCCCAAUGCAAUCAUCUGGGUGAGAAGAGGUGGCAGGAGUUGGGGGGUGCUGACAAGUGAUGAGAUUCCAGACAUACUAAUGAUGGUACCAACAGGAUUUCCCGACACAUAAAAGGUACAGUGCGAAGGACAGAGAGGAGUCCAGGAAGCCUCAAAGUUUUUAGUCUGAGCAACUGGAAGGGCAGAAUUGCCACUUACUACAACAUGGGAGAAGUAGGUUGACUUUGGUUUGGAACCAAGGAGCUUGAAACACUCUGUAACACAAUGUUCCCAUCCCCUAAGGACAUUCAUAUUCUAAUCUGGGAACCCAAGAGUGUUACUUCACAUGACAAACAGUGACCUGGAACUUCGGGAAGUGAUCCUGGAUUACCUGAGGGGACCCUCAUAUAAGAGCGAAGGGAUUACAGAUGGGCAGUGAUGAGAUGACUGAUGCUGCCAGGAGCCAAGGAUGCAGUAGCUUCUGAAAGCUGAAGAGGCAAGGAACAGAUUCAUUCCUGAAGUCUCUAGAAGGAACGAGCCUGACCCAUAUCUUGGCUUUAAUCCUAGUAGACUGAGGCUUUGGGCUUUGUUUUGUUUUUGAGACAAGAUUAUUAUAGAUAGACAUUUAGAGAUCUGUGUAGAAAGUUAAGACAGGGCUGACCCCUUGAAAGGCCAGUGCAGAAGACAACUGUGGCUUCAGGCUUGUAGAGAAAUAGGAACUACUCACUCAUCUACUUCGCCUUGGGAUGAAGAGCAGCGAUUGAUACUCUAAAUAGACAUCAAUCACUGAGGUGCAGGAUCAAAGCUCCUAUCCCCACCCUUCCAGGAAAGUCCUUGUCUGUCCCAUGUACGCUCACUUUGUGACUUGCUUCCUGUUUCAUUUCAUUCCUGUUUAACCAAUAUUACCCCAGUAGACUGUACUUCUUGCAAUCUUACUGGUUCACCACAGUUUUGUCCCACCUCACAGUCAUCCCACUGGAUCAGUAUUACAUAAGUGACUAUUCUUGUGAGCUUAUUAGUUGACUUUAAUUCUGUGCCACCUUCAACCUGCCUCACCUUGUGGCUUUGCUCAGUAAAACACCUUUAAGAAGUGGGUUGGUAGGCAACCCCAUCUGAGCCCCUUUCUGUUUCUCUUAGACAGAAACUUUCUUCCUUUCAACAAAUCCUCUGCUCUUAACUUCUGUUAUUCGUAGAAUUCAGUCUUCAAUUUUAGAGAACAUGAGCUUGGUGUUUUGGACAUAUAGCAGGUUGAGAGUUUGCCCUAAAUUAGGUUGUUCCUUUGUAGUUCAGGUCAGCCUUGAACUCAUGGUGAUCUUCCCGCCCCAGCCUCCUGCUGAGUGCUGGCACAUAGUGUGUGCCACCAUGUCUGACUGGGUUUUGACUCAAGAACUGUUAAGACAAAAAACGUGUAUUGCUUCCCCCCUCCUUUUUUUUCUUUUUUAACAUGCAUUGUUUUUAAGCCACCAAGUUUAUGGUGAUUUGUUACAGCAGCAACGAGACACUAACACUGACAUACAAAGGCUGAUGCCAAGGGAGUAGAUAGCCAACCCAGGAGGAUCUAGUUUCUUGGGAGGCUGAAGCAAGAGAAUCACUGUGAGUUUGAGGGUAACCUGGGCUACAUAGUAAGUUCAAAGCCAGCCUACAUAGUACUGAGACAGUCUCAAAAACAAACAACAACAAAAAGAAACAAAAAAAAAAGAGUAGAAAACAAAGUAAGGGGCUGGAGGUUUAGCUCAGUGGCAUAAGCACCUGUCUUGGAAGCAGGCAGUCGUGAGUUCGAUCCCCGGUACCGAUAAUAAGGAAAAAGACAAAAAAAGAAAACAAAGUAAAUGUGGACUCAGAGAUGGAUUUACACAAAGAGAGCACUAAGCGAAGAUAUAGGGAAAAAGCUGUGUGACAGCUAAAGGCAGGGACUGGGUGAUGCAUCUACAAUCUAAGGAAUGCAAAGAUGGCCAGCAAAACGACAGAAACCAGGAGACAGGGAGCAGAUUCUCCCUUACAGCCCUCAGAAGACCAGCCCUGCCCACACCCUGAUCUUGGGUUGUCAGCUUUAAGACUUGUGAGACAACAAAUUUGUGUUAUCAAGCCACCUCAGUGGUGGUCCUUUGUUACAGCAGCCCUAGAGAACUAAGUAAUACACUGUCACCCUACACCACCAGUACUGUGACUAUUAUGAGGGCAGGGACCACGUGGGUUAGGAGUUCCACAAUAGGUUCUACCACAAAGUCCACACAGUAGGCACACAAUAAAUACUUGCUAAAUAAGGCAAGGAAGCACACAGUCUUAGAACCUGUUUGAGACCUUGAGCGGAGGAGCUCACUGAGGAUGGAGCCAAUUCUAAGUGGGCUGAAGAAACAGGGAUGAUGAACUGAGUCCUGGGCGUCCAGGCAGAUGUAGCCAACACCAUCUCACGACUCCUGACCAUGGGAUCCAUACAGCUAGUUGACAGAUGUUUUAGCCACAUAAAUCUGUCACAUCCUUAUGGCGUGGUCCAAUAGGGCAAAGGAACCACAAAGAACACUAUAUCAGACUUUUUCCUGAUCCAAGCCAGAUACUGUCUCUCCUUCCCAUGUGUGCCAAGGAUUCCCCAGUCCCCAACAUGAGCAUACCAACAUGUAGCAAUAAUCCAUCACUGUCAACUAACCAGACCCCUCUCUAAAAAGGUAACCUUUAUAAGCGACCCCCAAUCCUUUGCCAGUGAGAGCUCCUGCAUUCUCAGUGUGUGUACCUCUUGGUGCCUGCAUUGAAGAUCUUUCUUCUUUGUCUUUCUCAUUAUUUCUGUGCCUUUAGAUUGACUCCCCAAAAUACUAACUAGUUUCUGGCAGUUUAGGCUAGUUUGCAUUAGAAUUUCUUUUACCUGUAGCUGAAAUUUCUGUUAUCUAUACCCUGUCCAGAGGGAUGAGCAAAGAUUUUUUUUCAGCAGGUGCCACAUCACCAGGUUUCCCUUUGCUGUGACUAUGCAACUGGGUUGGUCAGAGAUCCUGGGAAAUGUGUGGAGAGGUAGAAAGACAGGAGCAAAGACUAAGGGAGCCACAGAAGGGUUUUAUACAAGGAAAGUGACAAACCAGGGCAAACAUUUCUCCUAUAUGCCAAACCCUACUGUGGGUACUGGGAACAUGUGUCAGAACUGGUCUCUGGCCUUGAGAAGAUCACUGCCUGAGGGACAUUAAGGAUGAAUAGUUAGAGCUGCAACAGAGAGGCACUGGGGCUGUGUGAGCCAGAGGAGGGAGGGAAGUUGCUAUGGGACCAAGGGAGCUUCCUAGAAGGGAAGACAUUUGAAAUAGGUCACUAAGGAAGAGCACGCUAGAGAAAGGUUUUCAUUCAUUCAUUCAACAAACACCUCAUAUAGUUUUGCUGUAUUCUCAGGUUCUGCUGGGUCCUGGCAACCCAGAGAUGAAUCCAAAUCAUUUCCUGUCACAGAGGAGAAUGUAGUCAUGGCACUAAUGAUCUGGGCAGGGAUAACCACAGCUAAGUGGAACUGUCUGAAGUGGAGGCAGUAGAGGCAUGUAGGAAGGCACCAGCAUGGGGGACGAGCUGACUGUGUCAUAGGGAGGGGAGGAGAUCAAGGUGGGUUUUGAGCACUACACAAGACAUCACCUCAGAGAUGAAUGGUAGGACAUUCUAGAAAGGGUAUAGCCUAGGCCAAGACAGCAAGCCUGGAAAGUACAAUGUACUAUUUUCUACCAGGCCAAUAAGACAGAACUGGUUAGCUGGAGAAAUGGCAUAAGACGCUGGAGGGGUGGGCAGAAGGCAGAUUAUGCACGAAUGGACCAAAAAAAUCUGUAUAUUACCCUGUAAGCAACAGGAGUUCCUGAAGGAUACUAAGCAGGAUAACAAUAGUAAUCAGAGUUUCACCUUUGAAAGACUGGUUGCAUCCAUCAGAGUUUAAAUAGGAAGUAUCUCCCAGGGGCUUACGCAGGGAGGCUUGAUACCCAGGGCAGCAGUGUUCAGAGGUGAGGCCUGGCGAGGUAACCAGAUCAUCAGAGGGUUAAUCCACUAAUGAGUGCACAGCUGUGAGUCAGUAGGCGGUGGGGCCCAGCUGGAGAAGCAGGUCACUGGAGGUGUCUUUGGAGAGUACUGCUGGCGCCUGGCCCCUUCCACCCUGGCUCUUGCCCUUCUGCUCUGCUUCCAGGCUGCCACAGGUGAGCAGCUCUAUUCUACCACACCCUCCCUACCAUCAUUUAAGCAAAGGAAACAAGCACCCACAGAGUAAAAUCUCUAAAAUUCAGCCAGAAUAAUCCUUUUUCUUUCAAAUUGUUUUUCUCAGGAUUUUGGUUACAGUCAUGAAAAGCUGACGAACACAGGAGCUGCUAUGGUAUGGUGACUUAGGGCAAAGGAAGGCUGGUUUUCCUUUGGUGGUAGUUGAUUAAGAUCGAGGGACCCUCAACUCACCUCCACCAUAGCUGCCUGGGCCCACUGGCUUCUUUCAAGCUCCUCCUUCUCUUCUAUGUUCCUGGCUGGAAAAGCUGCAGGAAGGGAGCUGUGAGAACGUCUUUAUUCCUCCUGUAGCUGACUCCCUAUCCAUGCUGGCUGAGGCUCCAAAACAUCCAGAAGUAGGAAGACAAGUCCCAACGUUAGCCUCCCUGCAGAAACCACAAUAACUGUAUUUACUGAAACUACCAUAGCCACACACUUCUGUUUUGCUUUAGAGCCUGCAAAGCAACUUUACAACUGCUCUUAGCACUCACUGAAUACACAUUUGGGAGAUUCAGGAAUGAAAGUCUGUUGCCUUGAUGGGGCCUCUGCUUUUGCUCACUGCUGUAUUUUAGCACCAGCACAGUACUUACAGUAUGGUAGGUUCUUGUAAAGUAUUUGUUCAAAAAAUGAAUGUGUCUCUGUCUGAACCAAGAGUCAGGUUUGGUUAUCAAAUUUAGAAAAAAUGUAUUUGAUUCUCAGCAUUCCCUAGAUUUUUAUUUAUUGACAUUUAUAGGUAGUUGACCUGUAACAGAUGCUAACAUUUACUGAACCAUUUGGUUCCUCAUGUAAUAGAGAUAAAACCUCAACUGACAGGUAUAAGGCAGUUGAGAGAUGUUUAAUUUGGUUCACAUAACGUGGGGACACGUUAUGGGUGAUACAUGUGUCAACCUGAAAAGUUCAGGGACUCAGCAGGGGAUCAAGUCCUCACUCUGUAAAAUCCUCAUCCUGUGCUAGAGGAGGGCACCCAGAUUGUGGGUGCUACACCCUCCUUGGGGGAAGUAGCCUGCUUACAAUAUAAGGGAGGAAAAGAGGCUUGCUAAACCUUUUUGCACUUGCUGCUUUUGCUGUCUUUUGCCAUCUUAGAAUGUUGCCUCUGUGCCAUGCCACAGAGCCAGCUGAUUAUGGACUGAAACCUCCACAAAUUGUGAACUAAAUAUUUCCUUCCUUAAUUUUGGGUGUAGGGUAUUUUAUCCUGGCAAUGAGAGAAACAAAAUUUGUUACCAGGAAUGGGAUUAUUGCUGUGACUGUACCCGACCAUGUGGUUCAACAGCCUUUGGGAAUGGCUUGUGGGAAGAGUUUGGAGAUGUCACCUGAAAGAGCAGUACCAGGGCUGGGGAUUUAGCUCAGUGGCAUAAGCACUUCCUUGCAAGCAGGCAGUUGUGAGUUCAAUCUCCAGUACCGAUAAAAAAAAAAAAAAAAAAAAAAAAAAAAAAAAAAAAAGAGCAGUACCAGAAAUGCCUUAGGUUGUUCUGUAUGGAAGAUUCUGCUCAGAGCUCAGAAGACCAGAAGGCUGAUAGAAAUUCUGUUAGUGAAGACCAGGUUUGACAGAUUUCUAUUGGGAAAGACUACACUACUGCUGGACUCAAGAUGAUGUUAUGUUAUGACUCGGCAAAAGUUUGUCUGUAUUUUGCCUCAGGUAAAGGCCCACACUUUACCUGAGACUAAGAUUAAGGGCAGUAGACUAAUUCAUAUGGCAGAAGAAAUUUGAAGGCAGUUGACUAUUGAGGUUGUGGCACGGAUACUCCUGGGGCCUUUCAGCCAGAUUUAUGUUGUGAAUCAACAGCAAAUAACCCAACAGAAUGAUUUAAAACAUUGUGAGUUUGAGCUCCCCUCCGUGAUAGGCGGCAGUGGUGUGGCCAGCUGUGGCCCUCCAAGGGGGAGAACCACCAGUGUCUCCUGAGAUCCGUGCCAUGUUGGAACUUAGGACCCUGAGAAACCAAGCAAGCAGCUCACCUCCCUGGUAAGUGGCUGCAGUGUAGCAGACUAUGGCCCCUCCAGGGAGAGAACCACCAGUGUCUUCUGAGAUCCACAACAUGUUGGAACUUAGGUCGCUGGGAAACCAAGCAACCAGCCUGCCUCCCUGCUAAGCAAUAGUGAACCUACUGGUCCCCGGCCUAGAGUCAAACAUCCCACUUCUCCUAUUUCCUUCCCCUGUCCCAUUAGCAAAUGGGAACCAGAAAUUUGAACAUCUCUUAGGAGGCUGACCAUAGCAAAUAAGGGGGAUUUCCUUCUACCAUCUCUUUGAAGGCAAAUAUUUUUAUUACUGUUUUGCUUUAUUCUGAUUAAUGGCAUUGCUCUAUUCAAUAUUCUGUUUUGAUAAAUUCUAUAAUGUUCUGUAUUUCAUUUUAUUUUGAUAUAUGUGAUUGAAAGAACAACUAUUGUAAAGAUAACGAAAUAUACUGCGAUACCUAUUACUGUUAUCCCAGUAACCUGCUGUGAAGUUCUAUACCAAUUUCACUACACGGUCUCAGUUGGCUUUAUUCUGCCUUGUUCUGUUGUAUUUUACUACUUUCAAAAUAAAAUUAAAAAAAAAAAAACAUUGUGAGUUUGACCAGAAAGGAAACUAAUAAAUCUGUCGGCUACAAAGAUAGAGCUGAGGAAAUCUCAACUGCUGAGAAGGAACAGGAAAAUAAAAUAGAUGGCCUGAUGGCAUCAAAAAAAGUAGCAAAUCUCCACCCUUUGCAGCCUCAAAGCUGCAAAAGUCAAAGACUUUGCUUGAAGAAAAAGCUGCAAGGUACCAUGUUCCAGAAUGGCAGUAGUACAGAAAAUCUGUUCCUCAGAAUUGGAUUCAGAAUGCCCAGUGAACCAGGCAUUUAAUUCCUGCAGCCAAGAGAGAGGAAAGCUGAGUUACUGCUCUAGUUGGCAGCAGACCUUGGCAUGAUCCACAUGGUGCUAGUUUUAGAUGCAAGCAGAAUGCAAGAGUUUCAGGCUUAAGAAGGCUUCCACCCUGAUUUCAGAAGGCCUAGAAGGUAAAGUAGUGUGCCCCUGAGAAGGCAAUGUGAGAAGCUGUGAGAGUGAAGCUAAAGAUGCAGUGAAGACUCCAGAAGUCUGGAAAAGCAAAGAACAUGGAUCACCUAAGGGAACUGCAAAGAGGGAGCAAAGUAGGCCAGAGAGAAACUGUGGGAGCUACAACCACCAAAUGUGCCAUAGGGUGGAGUCACUCAAACCCUUUGGAGCUCACAAUUUUCCACAGAUUGCUUCAGAUGCUGGACAUGGAAAUACAGAACUUAAUGUGUGCCCUGCUGAAUUUUGGACUUGCUUUGGUUCCAAUCCUUUUUACCUCCAUUGAAACUUUUGGAAUAAAAAUGUUUAUCUUGCGCCUUUUUAUGUUGGAAGUGUUUAACUUUAUUUUCUUCUGUAUAAGGGCUUACACCUAAAAGUUUGCCUUAAACCUCAGAGGAGACUUGAGUCUUGGACUUUCCAGCAAUGCUAAAACUAUUAGGACUUUGGCAACUCUUGCAGAUGGACUAAAUAGUUUUUGCAUAAAUGAAUGUACAUCAGCCUUUGGGGGACCAAGACAAAAUGUUAUGGUUCUAAUGUAAUAUACUGUUGACAGACUUAAUAUUGGUUCUUAAUAUGGUUAAAUCUCUAACAUUUAAGCUGUAAAAUGAUAAGAAUAAGUAUAUCUUUAUAUCUGGAGACUAUCUAAAGAUGUGUCUGGUUGCCAAGUUGACAAGUGGUAGACUGUAAUGGUUGAUAUGUUGUGUCAACCUAAAAAGUUUAGAAAUUUAACUAAGGGACUUAGGGGACCAGGAUUCUCACUUUGUAAACAUCCUUAUCCUGUGCAAAAGGAGGGCACUGAAAUUAUGAGUGCUACAGUCGCCCUAGGAGGGGACAGUCUAUUUAUAAGGGAAGAAAAAAAGGCUUGCUUCCUCCUCCCCACCCCCACUUUGCUCUUGCUGUGUUCUGUCCCUCUGAAGUGUUAACCCUAUGCCAUGCCACUCUGCUUUGGAGCCAGCUGAUUAUGGACUGAAAUCUCUGCAAACUAAAUAAACUAAAUAAACCUUCUGUUCCUUAAUUUUGGAUGAGCUAAAUAAACCUACUGUUCCUUAA